UCUAGCUUGCUAGAUGCUGACGAGCGGCGGACGGGUGAGUAAUGCAUAGGAAUCUGCCCGAUAGUGGGGGAUAACCUGGGGAAACCCAGGCUAAUACCGCAUACGUCCUACGGGAGAAAGGGGGCUCCGGCUCCCGCUAUUGGAUGAGCCUAUGUCGGAUUAGCUAGUUGGUGAGGUAAUGGCUCACCAAGGCAACGAUCCGUAGCUGGUCUGAGAGGAUGAUCAGCCACAUCGGGACUGAGACACGGCCCGAACUCCUACGGGAGGCAGCAGUGGGGAAUAUUGGACAAUGGGGGCAACCCUGAUCCAGCCAUGCCGCGUGUGUGAAGAAGGCCCUCGGGUUGUAAAGCACUUUCAGCGAGGAAGAACGCCUAGUGGUUAAUACCCGCUAGGAAAGACAUCACUCGCAGAAGAAGCACCGGCUAACUCCGUGCCAGCAGCCGCGGUAAUACGGAGGGUGCAAGCGUUAAUCGGAAUUACUGGGCGUAAAGCGCGCGUAGGUGGCUUGAUAAGCCGGUUGUGAAAGCCCCGGGCUCAACCUGGGAACGGCAUCCGGAACUGUCAGGCUAGAGUGCAGGAGAGGAAGGUAGAAUUCCCGGUGUAGCGGUGAAAUGCGUAGAGAUCGGGAGGAAUACCAGUGGCGAAGGCGGCCUUCUGGACUGACACUGACACUGAGGUGCGAAAGCGUGGGUAGCAAACAGGAUUAGAUACCCUGGUAGUCCACGCCGUAAACGAUGUCGACCAGCCGUUGGGUGCCUAG
rnacentral:rRNA from 1 species